GCUCGGGUGGUGGAAUGGUAGACACGCCAGACUUAGGAUCUGGUGCCGCAGGGCAUGAGGGUUCGAGUCCCUCUUCGAGCACCA
rnacentral:tRNA from 1 species